AUCAACCCAUGGUCCUUUCAUAAGUCAGAAAACACUUCGUCCAAGAAGUUUGCAAAAACCCCUAUAGUUUUUGGAUUUUGAUCCGCGGUCCUUUGUAAAGUGAGAGGAUGUUAUCUUCCUCCUCCGCAACCCCCUCCCUUGUGGUCUCUGACAAAUCGCCGCCACCCACCAUCUCAUUUCUCCCAAACCUCGGUGUCGGCCCUCCACUUCCCCUCCUCUUACCUCGCAGCUUCAACAGCUGAUGGAUCCGCCGAAUUCCCCAUCCAUCCACCCCUCUCGCAGCACAUCUCUCCUUCUCUCACGUGACCCUCGCGCCGUGACCAAGGUCGGCUGAUUCCGCCAACGUCCGAUACUGCGCAGCAGACUUUCAAGCUGCUCUCCGAUCCCUCUGUCAGCCAAUACGGCUGGAUCUGCUUCUCCCGGUCUCCGGAGCUCGCCCUGCGACACCUAGCCCGUGGAUAGGGUUUCGGCCAUGUCGACGCGUACAUCACUCGGGCAUCUCCGGUGGCUCCUCUCCGUCGCACACAUCACCCUCUCACGCCCUCUUCACCUCCUGGAUGGCGCUCCCUAGCUCGGUGCGCACACACGUCUUAAGAUGUUAUCAAAUUUGUUGCCUGAGUACCUCAUAUGUGUUUCUUUCUGAAAAUUUCAGGUUGCUCAAGCAACAGGGAAGCUUGUGUUGUGUAGACACUGAUGGCCGCCUGCAUCUAUGUGUACACAUGGGACGUGAAAUUUGUGCCGUACAUCAAUAGAAAUAUCAAUUUUGAAAUAUAAUAUUUAUGUUUGGAUGGUGAUUGUUCAAGGUAGCUAAAUAAAACUUGUAUGCUGUAUAACUUGGUGUCGCUUUGCAAUUAUAUAAACAAAAAGGGAAUUAUAGUAUGUUUUACACAUUGGAUGUUUCAAUCGCUAAAUAAAUUAAGGUUUUAAAGUAAAUUAUUGUCUUUAAGCUUGUGUCAGGUGGUCAUCAAUUAAAC
rnacentral:lncRNA from 1 species